rnacentral:tRNA from 1 species
GGGGUAGUGGCGAAAUCGGUAGACGCAUCGGACUUAAAAUCCGAAGCCCCUCGCGGGGCGUGCGGGUUCGAGACCCGCCUACCCCACCA